rnacentral:lncRNA from 1 species
UAUACAUUAUAGUAAAAGUAAGUAAUCUAGUGAUUAUGCGUAAUCGCCGGUUAUUGUAUAUAAUCACCAAUGAUUUUGGUAAAAGUGAUAAAUUUUUCAUAUAUUGCAAAUUUAUCACAUCAGAUAUUAUGCAUAAUUGCCAAUAUAGGAUGGUAAAUUUGAUUAAUAAUGCAUUAUUGAUAAGUAAUGAAGUAGUUCUCUGCAUUCAUCAUCAUUUAUGUAGUAAAUUUGAUUUUAAGUAGUCAAAGUAAAUAAGAUUUCAUUCGGUUCAAGAAAUAAUUACAAAUGAAGGUGGAGAAAUUAGAGUUGACAUUCGGAUAAAGACAUCUAUAACAGGCCCGGCCUCAGAUGGGCAAGCUGGAGGUGGUUGCCGGCUGCCAUACAAAGCUGUAAAAGACCCACAACCGAAAACUACAUGAGAAUUAAAGGAAAAAUGAAUAAGCUUUUGUGCAGAAAUGCAACUUAUUCAUUUUUCCCUUUAAUUAAAAAAAUUAAAGGGAAUUAAAUUUGCAAUAUAAAAUUAUACAUAAUGCAGUAGGCUAAUUGCUGCUUUUUAUCCAGGGCAUUGGCUAACAUUCUGUUGGAUCCAUCCAUACAUUCAAAUUGAAACUAAUAAAAAAGUAUUUAUGAUCACACUAGCUGCAACCCGCAAAUUUUUGCGCUUGAUUUUUUAAUAUUUAUUUUUGUGAUAAGGUAAAAUAAACAAAAUACAUUUAUAUAUAUACAAAUCUACAUAAGUGAAAAUCAAGAAAUAAAAUAAUCACAGAUAGAAAAAUGCUGAUAAAUUAAACAAUAAAUCAGUAGCCACAUAA